ACAUUUUAGAGUUCUCCAGAUGAAUUUACACCUGGAAUCCAUGGUCAGGAGAACAGCGGAGAGUACCGGUUCCAGUGCCCCCGUGCAGGUCUGUUCCAAUGCAGUAUAACAGGCCUGGUGUUUAGGAUGGAGGGAGAGGGAGAGGUGUUCUAUAAGACAGUCCACUGGGACAGGAGGCUUCUAUCCCAGAAUGGCAAGAGACCUGCAGGACCCCUGUUCAAGUUUACAUGCCUUAAUGGGUCUGUCUGUCAACUACACCUCCCACACUGUGAGAUCUACAAUAGUGGUGGAUGUGACUUCCUGUCUGUAGCCCAUGUGACUGAUGACAACAUAGAGUUUCUCCCUCCUCUUGAGAUAACAGAAACCCACAUCAUAAUAAACAUCAGUGGAUUCUCUGCUUAUGGUGAAGUCAAGGAUGAAGACUCUCCCACCAUUCCUAUACGAGCACUUGUCUUGUUGUUCUACAAACCCCCAGUUGUUCCUAAAAAGAGGUCCAUCCUGAAUGUGUUGUUGCUUCCCAGAAAUGUUGUGAUCAGAGAGGUAAGACCAUCUGAAAUGUUGUGAUCAGGGAGGUAAGACCAUCUGAAAUGUUGUGAUCAGGGAGGUAAGACCAUCUGAAAUGUUGUGAUCAGGGAGGUAAGACCAUCUGAAAUGUUGUGAUCAGGGAGGUAAGACCAUCUGAAAUGUUGUGAUCAGAGAGGUAAGACCAUCUGAAAUGUUGUGAUCAGGGAGGUAAGACCAUCUGAAAUGUCAACUCUACUU